AUUUUAUGCUGAAACUGAAGUUAUGUGAGAGCCUUAUGGUGUUUAGGAGCUCUCAUUUAUAAGAGAUUUUCUGGCAUAUAGAGGACAAGGGUCGGCCAUUGCCAAAAUUUGGUGAAUGGGAUGUCAAUGAUCCUGCAUCAGCCGAGAGAUUUACCGUGAUCUUUAACAAGGCAAGGGACGAGAAGAAAACCGAAGAAAAAG